AUUGAACGCUGGCGGCAGGCUUAACACAUGCAAGUCGAGCGGAGAUGAGGUGCUUGCACCUUAUCUUAGCGGCGGACGGGUGAGUAAUGCUUAGGAAUCUGCCUAUUAGUGGGGGACAACAUUCCGAAAGGAAUGCUAAUACCGCAUACGUCCUACGGGAGAAAGCAGGGGAUCUUCGGACCUCGCGCUAAUAGAUGAGCGUAAGUCGGAUUAGCUAGUUGGUGGGGUAAAGGCCUACCAAGGCGACGAUCUGUAGCGGGUCUGAGAGGAUGAUCCGCCACACUGGGACUGGGACACGGCCCAGACUCCUACGGGAGGCAGCAGUGGGGAAUAUUGGACAAUGGGGGGAACCCUGAUCCAGCCAUGCCGCGUGUGUGAAGAAGGCCUUAUGCUUGUAAAGCACUUUAAGCGAGGAGGAGGCUACUGAGACUAAUACUCUUGGAUAGUGGACGUUACUCGCAGAAUAAGCACCGGCUAACUCUGUGCCAGCAGCCGCGGUAA
rnacentral:rRNA from 1 species